rnacentral:rRNA from 1 species
ACCCAGACUCCUACGGGAGGCAGCAGUGGGGAAUAUUGGACAAUGGGGGGAACCCUGAUCCAGCGACGCCGCGUGAGUGAAGAAGUAUUUCGGUAUGUAAAGCUCUCUCAGCAGGGAAGAAAAUGACGGUACCUGAUUAAGAAGCCCCGGCUAACUACGUGCCAGCAGCCGCGGUAAUACGUAGGGGGCAAGCGUUAUCCGGAUUUACUGGGUGUAAAGGGAGCGUAGACGGCAGCGCAAGUCCGAAGUGAAAGCCCGGGGCCCAACCCCGGGACUGCUUUGGAAACUGUGAAGCUGGAGUGCGGGAGGGGCAGGCGGAAUUCCUGGUGUAGCGGUGAAAUGCGUAGAUAUCAGGAGGAACACCGGCGGCGAAGGCGGCCUGCUGGACCGUAACUGACGUUGAGGCUCGAAAGCGUGGGGAGCAAACAGGAUUAGAUACCCCAGUA